UUCAAUUCAUAAUUCUUCUCUGUAUUGGGCCGCCUUGAAGUCUUAUAGUAUCAUUCAGACCACCAAUAAAAAAGGUCCAAAUGGGUGCUGCCCAUUCCUCUGCUACCUGUCUCUCUUCCCCUGCCUGCCACUACUAACAUCCCUCGUUGCUAUCUUUUCCAUCGCGUAUCAAAACCAAGCUCAAAUUCUUCUUCCACUCCCACCAUUUAUCUUCAUCUUCAGAAACCCACUAGCAAUUUUAUUUCCCAAAACCAUUAUUCACUUAAAUCUCCCUGUUCGUCUUCAAAGAUCGUGCCUUUGAGUUGUGCAAGAGUAAGAUUGAUGGAGACCCAAGAAGGAAGUGCUUCAAAACCCGUAAUUGAUUUUCAUGGCAUCGAUGAAGAAUUGAUUCAAAAGAUGGCUUACGAUGCGCUUGUUUGGAGUUCUCUCCAUGGUCUUGUUGUUGGUGAUAAAAGUGUUCAGAGAUCAGGAAAAGUACCCGGUGUGGGGAUGGUACAUGCUCCAUUUGCCUUGCUGCCAGUGGCAUUCCCAGAAAAUCACUGGAAGUCAGCAUGUGAAGUUGCUCCUGUAUUCAACGAACUCAUUGAUCGUGUUAGUUUGGAUGGAAAUUUUCUGCAGGAUUCGUUAUCCAGAACAAAGAAAGUAGAUGUUUUUACAUCAAGACUUUUAGAUAUUCAUUCCAAGGUGCUAGAAAUGAACAAAACAGAGGAAAUACGAUUGGGUUUACAUCGCUCUGAUUACAUGCUUGAUGAACAAACUAAAUUACUCCUCCACAUAGAGAUAAAUACAAUUUCCUCUUCGUUUCCUGGCCUCAGUUGUCUUGUCAGUGACCUUCACAGG
rnacentral:misc_RNA from 1 species